UUGAAAUUUGGCUGUCGAGUAGACUACGAGCACACCUGAUUGUAGAUUUUGUGUUGAUUUUAAUUUAGCGAUUUCUGUCUUGCUAGGGAGCAGUGCAUUGUUGGUUGCCGCAUAUGGUUGCUGCAUUACCAAAGAACGGUAAACAUUCUGUGGAAAAUGGAGGACGAAUUUGACUUUCUCUUCAUAUCCCUUCGUAUGGUGUUUACUUGGCUUAUUUUGUGUCUCCAUAUUAUUAAUGGUUUGUAAACACAGAUCAGCCCAUUACAAAGAUGAUCACUUCUACAUUGGUUUUCAAGCCAUGUCUGAUGCUCUGCCUUCAAACAUGAACAACCUUUUCACAUAGAUGGUCUUAUCCUUGGAGAAGCCACAUCUGAAGUUGUUGUCAAUAUUUUUGAUGUC